GGGGCUCUCAGCUCCUGUGCGAAGAGCUCCUGUGGGGUCUCACUGGAGACUAGACUUAAUAGACCUCGUGUGCUGUGAGAAGCAAAGAUUGUCUCCUUCUGCAAGAAUGCAUCCUGUCAUCUGUUCUGCUCUUGUGAUCUUGAUAUUCAGAAAGACCAGCGGGGACUCAGUGACCCAGACAGAAGGCCUGGUUACUUUAUCCGAGGGGGCAGACCUGUUCCUGAACUGCACUUACCAGACCUCAUACUUGAGUCCUUACUUAUUUUGGUACAUCCAGUACCCCAGGAAAGGCCCUCAGAUCCUCCUGAAGAGCAUAAACGACAACCAGAAGGUAGAGAGUCAAGGCUUCGAGGCUACCCUCAUGAAGCGGAACAGCUCCUUCCACUUGCAGAAAUCUACACUCCAGAGAUCAGACUCGGCUGUGUACUACUGCGCUCUGAGUGCCACAGUGAGAGAAACCACAGAUGCCACUGAGCACAAACCCAGAGGGCCCCAGGAGACCUGCAGCUGGGCAGCCCUGGGAGGGGGGAGUCCUACUCUCCCCUAG